rnacentral:lncRNA from 1 species
CUGACUCAUCACACUGCCCAUUUCAGAAAAGUGACAGCAUGUAAAUCAUUUCACUACCACCAUACAGCUGAUAGCCAGGAGAACAUCAUGAUGGAUCUGUUGCUUCAGAAAGAGGAAGAGGGGUGUAAGCAGCAGCACACCGAGGUGGAAAGCAGCAUGAGCAGAAGGGCCUCUGAGCGAGGGUAUGUCCUGCCCGGGACCAGGCGUGCAGGAGGGCAAUCAAACCACAGAAGGAGAGAGAGAGAGGGCUAUGCAUCAAAUGGAGAAAGCAGCUUGGAAAGGAAAAGAAGAGUUCCAUCCUCCAGUCUCCUGUAUCAGAAGCCCCCAGGAAGCAGAUUCAAGAUUUUAAGAGCUGAGGAAGGAGAGUGUGACGGACUCAGAGUUAUUUAAUACCCUGCUGCUGCUGCUGCUGCUAAGUCACUUCAGUCGUGUCCGACUCUAUGCGACCCCAUAGACGGUAGCCCACCAGGCUCCCCCAUCCCUGGGAUUCUCCAGGCAAGAACACUGGAGUGGGUUGCCAUUUCCUUCUCCAAUGGAUGAAAGUGAAAAGUGAAAGUGAAAAUGCUCAGUCGUGUCCGACUCAUAGCGACCCUAUGGACUGCAGCCUACCAGGCUCCUCUGUCCAUGGGAUUUGCCAGGCAAGAGUACUGGAGUGGGUUGCCAUUGCCUUCUCUGUUUAAUAGCCUGAGGAAAGGUUUUUAAGAGUUGCCAUUUCACAUGUUGUGCAAGAGUAUUAUUGAGUCCUUACAUUUCUCUCUUUCUUAUUUCAAGAGAGAAUGUUGAGGCUUAUUCCGGAGCUGGAAACUCUGUGAGCCUGAGAUGAAAAUACAGCCAUGAAUUAAAGCAGCCUGAGUCAGUGGUCACUGACCAAGUAUAUGAAUAUUUGACUCUCUCUCUCUGCUGUUAAUGGCAGAUGGAAAGACAAUGCAUGGAAAUGGUUUAAUUUUACUUUACCAGGCUACACUAAUGUAGGUAAUUAAGAUUCACUGCCUUAUUAACUUC